AUGUCCCCAACAGUCAGAAGCAACAACACACAGUUGCAAACCGUUUCAGACCUUAUUGAUACUAGCAAUUGGUCGUGGAAAACUGAUGUGAUUAGUCAAAACUUCAUCACCCCUGACGCGGAUGCCAUUCUUAAUAUCCCUCUGAGGAGAGGGGGAGGUGAUAAUGUGUUGGCAUGGGCUCUCGAAAGAUCGGGUUGCUAUACUAUAAGAUCCGCGUAUCAUGCUCUAAUGACUCAUAACGAGCAGCGUGCUCUAGAGGAAGGGGCGAUCACCGAAACUUCAACGACAGACAGACAGCUAUGGUCCCGAUUAUGGAAACUCAAGGUCUUGCCAAGGGUGAGAGUGUUU
rnacentral:rRNA from 1 species